UAGGGAAUCUUCGGCAAUGGACGAAAGUCUGACCGAGCAACGCCGCGUGAGUGAUGAAGGUUUUCGGAUCGUAAAACUCUGUUGUUAGAGAAGAACAAGGACGUUAGUAACUGAACGUCCCCUGACGGUAUCUAACCAGAAAGCCACGGCUAACUACGUGCCAGCAGCCGCGUUAAUACGUAGGUGGCAAGCGUUGUCCGGAUUUAUUGGGCGUAAAGCGAGCGCAGGCGGUUUCUUAAGUCUGAUGUGAAAGCCCCCGGCUCAACCGGGGAGGGUCAUUGGAAACUGGGGGACUUGAGUGCAGAAGGGAAGAGUGGAAUUCCAUGUGUGGAGGUGAAAUGCGUAGAUAUAUGGAGGAACACAAGUGGCGAAGGCGGCUCGCUGGUCUGUAACUGACGCUGAGGCUCGAAAGCGUGGGGAGCAAACAGG
rnacentral:rRNA from 1 species